AGUGAACGCUGGCGGUAGGCCUAACACAUGCAAGUCGAACGGCAGCACAGUAAGAGCUUGCUCUUACGGGUGGCGAGUGGCGGACGGGUGAGGAAUACAUCGGAAUCUACUUUUUCGUGGGGGAUAACGUAGGGAAACUUACGCUAAUACCGCAUACGACCUACGGGUGAAAGCAGUGGAUCUUCGGACCUUGCGCGAUUGAAUGAGCCGAUGUCGGAUUAGCUAGUUGGCGGGGUAAAGGCCCACCAAGGCGACGAUCCGUAGCUGGUCUGAGAGGAUGAUCAGCCACACUGGAGCUGAGACACGGUCCAGACUCCUACGGGAGGCAGCAGUGGGGAAUAUUGGACAAUGGGCGCAAGCCUGAUCCAGCCAUACCGCGUGGGUGAAGAAGGCCUUCGGGUUGUAAAGCCCUUUUGUUGGGAAAGAAAAGCAGCAGGUUAAUACCCCGCUGUUCUGACGGUACCCAAAGAAUAAGCACCGGCUAACUUCGUG
rnacentral:rRNA from 1 species